rnacentral:rRNA from 1 species
UGGUUUGAUUCUUGCUUAUUAUUAUUUGCUUUUGGAUUAUUUUAUAUGUAAAUUUUUGUAUGAUUUAAUUGUUUUAUUCUUAAUGAAUAUUUAAUUUAUUUUUUUUUCGCAGUGGGGAGUUUUAAAUAAAUUAACGGGAGUUUGAUUUGGUAAUUUUAAUUUAUUAUUGGUAAAAUUUGUGCCAGCAUCCGCGGUUAUACAAUGGAUAUUAGUAAAUAUUUUUGGUUAAAGUAGUUAUUUUUUUUUGUUUUGAGUUUAUAAUUUAUAUUUUUAGGUGAAAUUUUAAUAUUUUUGAGGCUUAUUAUUUUGAUUUUGAGGCUAUUAAAUUUUUAGUAUAAACUAGGAUUAGAUACCCUAUUAUUUUUAAUGUAAAUUAUUUAUAACCAGAGUAGUAUUAGAUAAAGUCUUGAAACUUAAAGAAUUUGGCGGUAUUUUAGUCUCUUUAGAGGAAUCUGUCUCUUAAUCGAUAAUCCGCGUUGUACCUUACCAAAAAUUUUAUUAUUUAGUAGCAUGUAUACCGCCGUUAUAAUGAAAAUCUUUUUAGGGUUUAAUAAUUUUCUUUAUUUGAUUUUAUAGGUUAUUUCAGGUCAAGGUGCAGUUUAUGAUUUGGUGAUGAUGGAUUACAUUUAUAUUUGUUAUUCGAAUUAUUUAUUGAAAUAUAAAUAUGAAGUUGGAUUUAAUUGUAAUUUUUUAAAGAUUAUAAUAGUGAUACUAGCUCUAUAAUAUGUACAUAUCGCCCGUCACUCUCAUUAAUAAUUUAAUUGAGAUAAGUCGUAACAUAGUGGUUGUACCGGAAGGUGUAACUGGAAUGUAUAUUAUUGUAUAUAU